AAUGGCGGUGACCUCUGGUCCCGUCUGUCUCGUUUGUUCAGUCGUCCGUUGGUCAGUCGGUCGGUUGUCCCCCUCCCUCUGAGACGCGAGCUCAGAUCAGACGUGGUGACCGGCUGAAUUUAAGCAUAUUAGCCACCAGAGGAAAAGAAACUAACAAGGAUUCCCUCAGUAAUGGCGAGUGACCAGGGAAGAGCCCGGCGCCGAAUCCCCGCCCUGCGGUGGGACAGGGGAAAUGUGGGGAAUGGAAGACCCGCUCCCUGGCGACACUUGUGGGAGGCCCAAGUCUUUCUGAUUGAGGCAAAGCCCAUGAACGGUGUGAGGCUGGGAGCGGCCCCCUGCGUGCUGUGUUCGGGGGAAUCACGAGAUGGAUACUUAAAUACCAUAAGGGAAAGUUGUAAAGAACUUUGGAGAGAGUUCAAGUGGGCUUGAAACUGUU
rnacentral:ncRNA from 1 species